rnacentral:lncRNA from 7 species
AGACUCAACUCCUGUGUUUGCUGGCUUCCAAAUACUUAAACCAAACAUUUGUGUAAACCCGUCAGGAGAUGGGGGGGGAAUGAAUCUGAAAUUCUCCAUUGUGGAGAAAUUCAAUCUUUAAUCCACUGCUAUCAGUAGGUAUAGAAGUGCACCACAGCCAGAAAGCCUGGAACCUCUGGGAGAGCACAGUCUAAAUCAAGAAUCAAAACACCUCCCCAGUGCAACUGCAAAUUGAAAAGAAGCCCUUGUACUGUGCUGGCAGUGAUAUUGAUGGAAGAUGACUUUGAAAUGCUGAAAAGGUUCUCAGAUCAACCUGGUGACUUUUUUCAGGAAGUGAGUUUCCCUCUGCAAUGUCUGUGAUGGACUCACAUACAAGAUAGCACGGAGGUGACCUCGUCCGGCGUUGCAGUGGUCACAGUGCACUUAGAUUUAGUCACGAUCACGUCCCAUCUCUGUUUAAUGGAAAAUGAUUGGAAAUACAUAUUGUUAUUGUUAUUUUUAAUAAAUUCAGCUUCAUGGACUAAUAUCUCAUCCUCAAAUACCACAGCUUUACAAGGGUGUCUAUAUGCAUUUGGAUAAAGAGGGAAAGAAGAAUGGCAAUGCUAUUAACUAGUAGAAUCCUGAAGACCAUCGAAGAUUGUUUCAGGGUGUUUACUAUGAUUGAUGCAAAAGCUUUCCCCAUAGAAUGAAUACACACUAGAAAUAACUGUUGUGAAUAACUUCAAAAGGAAAGACAAUAGAGGAAAGGACAAAGAUUUAGUGGCUUAGCACCUAAAACCUUGAACCUUUCACCUCUGGUUGCAUUCUGAAUGCCCAGCUUGAAGUUCUCAGAAAAAAAUAUUUUUAACUUCAAAAUGGAAAGAACUUACCAUACAUAAUUGGAAGUGAUUUAGGAUAAGGAGAUAGAAUAGUAGUUUUAUGAGGUCAUGACCUUUUAACCUGCACAUUUUGUCAUGGUUCUUUUUACAGCUGGUGACAUUUAGACCAAGGAAUAAUUUGUCUUGACAUGUUUUUGUUUAUCUUUGGGUUUGGUUUUGCAGCAAUGGCACAAAUACUUUUUGUGAUUAGUGUUUAGAUGUUCUACAUUUAUUAGAAGUUGAUUAACUGGCUAACCUUUACCUAAAUGCAGUUCUGAUUUAUUUUCACACAUAAGUGCAAAUCUAUAAUCAGCAUUACAAUAGCACGAUUGAAUUUCCUUAAAGGAAAAUUCUCAAACAGCAUAAAGAGAGAAAGCAGAUUGUGAGCUCUAACUUUAUCCUUGUCCGGUAGGAAUGGACACCAUAGCUUUAAUUUCAUGUGGUCACAGUAGAUACCUGUUAAAAGUCUGAUGUAAAUCAUAUGACUAAGGAUAGAAGACAACAUUUAUUUCUUUACCAUUUGCAUUGUGCAGUUGAUGUUGUCCUUUUCUUGAAUUGUGUCAUUCUGUCACAGCAGUUUCUUUUUGUAUGAGAACUGAAGAUAUUCAGAAGCUCACAAAGACUCAGUUUGCACUGCAUGUGAGCAGUUGUUAUAGUUCAGUUUGUAAUAAAAUCUUUGC